AUGUCCAGCGGCAACAUUUACACCACCGUAAUAGAAGACGUGGUGGCCAAGGUCCGUAAGGACUUCAUCGCCGACGGGGCUGGCGACGCCGUCCUCAACGAGCUCCAGGCUCUCUGGGAGACGAAGUUGCUGCACUGUGGCGCAAUCUCAGGGAACACCGACCGCAAUAGGGCUCCCCCCGCCGGAGCGUCCGCUGGAGGCGCGACUCCACCGGUGCACGAUCUCAACGUGCCCUACGAGGCCACGUCCGAGGAGUACGCCACCCCAACCGCCGACAUGCUCUUCCCACCGACCCCGAUCCAGACACCACUUCCAGCUGGGAUUGAUACGGGGCCGUGGGACUAUGCCCCAUCGCAGAUCGGUGACAUGAGAAACGGGAUGGGGAUGACGAACGGGGCUGAUCGAGAGACUGGCCGCCCAAGCCCUUUCAUGCAACCUCCAUCGCCCUGGAUGAAUCAGAGACCACUGGGGCUUGAUGUGAACCUUGCCUUCGCUUAUGAGGACCUAGAAGACCGGUUGAUGCAACCCCAGCCACUGACAACUAAGGAUUUUCUGAUGGCUUCUUGUGGAAAACGGAAGAGGGAUGAAUAUCCUUCCGCUUCAUUUGUGCCACAACAGGAUGGAUGUGCAGACCAGGUUGCGGGUGGUGUUGAUGAUGAUGAACCUCCUCUUAAUGAAGAUGACGAUGACGACGAUGAUGACAUAGAUGAUGACUUUGAUGAGAAGCAGCACCUUGUCCUUGCACAAUUUGACAAGAUAACAAGGACAAAGAAUCGCUGGAAGUGCGCUUUGAAGGGUGGAAUCAUGCAUUUGAACGGCAGAGAUGUUCUAUUCAACAAGGCUUCGGGAGAGUUUGAUUUUUGA
rnacentral:rRNA from 1 species